UACGAAGGGGGCUAGCGUUGCUCGGAAUCACUGGGCGUAAAGGGUGCGUAGGCGGGUCUUUAAGUCGGGGGUGAAAUCCCGAGGCUCAACCUCGGAACUGCCUUCGAUACUGCGGGUCUCGAGUCCGGGAGAGGUGAGUGGAAUUCCUAGUGUAGAGGUGAAAUUCGUAGAUAUUAGGAAGAACACCAGUGGCGAAGGCGGCUCACUGGCCCGGUACUGACGCUGAGGCGCGAAAGCGUGGGGAGCAAACAGG
rnacentral:rRNA from 1 species